GAAAUGUGGUGAUCAAGAAAAAGCUGCUAACUUCUUUCUCAGCGGUUUAACUCCGUUUACAUUUCU
rnacentral:tRNA from 1 species